rnacentral:rRNA from 1 species
UACGAAGGGUGCUAGCGUUGUUCGGAAUCACUGGGCGUAAAGCGCGCGUAGGCGGCGAUACAAGUCAGGGGUGAAAUCCCAGAGCUUAACUCUGGAAUUGCCUUUGAAACUGUGUUGCUGGAGUGUCGGAGGGGAUGGCGGAAUUGCUAAUGUAGAGGUGAAAUUCGUAGAUAUUAGCAGGAACACCGGUGGCGAAGGCGGCCAUCUGGACGACAACUGACGCUGAGGCGCGAAAGCGUGGGGAUCAAACAGG